UAGUAGCCAGGUGUCCCGGCUACGACUGGUGAUGUGAGCAAGCCCCCAGCUGUUCACUGCAGAAGCGGGAGACGGGACAUCUCCCAGAGAGCUGUGCCAACCUUUCUUUGAGAACGGUGCAUUCAUCGGACUUGGUGUGUCACUUCCCAGAACCAGCGUUCUCACAGUUCCAGACUGGCCCCUAGCCCAGUAUCACAGCUGUGGGUAACCCACAAGGUGAGCCUGUCUGCUGCAUGCUUGCCAGGGCAGGAGAAGGAAACAGCAGAGCAGAAGGAUGGAGUCUGCAGCGUGUUCAGCUGUUAACUUCAAGGAGGUGUCCCAAGACAACUGCACAUGAGCUAUGAAACCCCAGGUCACUCAGGGAUGAUGGGCUGCCUCUUGCUGAGUGCUCGAAAUUGCCGCAUUUUGAUAACUGCAAAGAGGCUGUGUUCCUGGAGCACAGAGCAAGUCAAACACUAAGGGCAUUUCAUGGAUGUGAGUCAUGGGAAACCAAUGCUGCUGGCAAGAAGAAAAUUGAAGCUUUGGAGAUGUAGUGCUGGUGAAGACUCUUGCUUAUCGCCUGGAUGGAAGAGAAAACGCUUGUUAGAAAUAUUAUUGGAGAGAAGCAGACCCUGCUGUCAGGAAUCAACAGAUUCAUGCGCCGCUGCUGUGGAUUCACUGUUCCUCUGUUCACUCUUAGCUCACCCAGGUAGUGACAUUUGCUCAGGAGGCUGAGCUAUGGAGCACCUGUUCCCUGCACAAUAUGAUGCUUGUGCUGUCUGACUGCUACUCAUCUACUCCAGAGCUGACUGCGUUUCAGUGGCACCGUGCGUAUAUCCUUGGAACAUCCCUUUGGAUCCUUGGAGGCGGAGGCACUAGAGAUGUGAAGGGUGUUUGAUGGGAAGA